rnacentral:rRNA from 1 species
AUUGAACGCUGGCGGCAGGCCUAACACAUGCAAGUCGAGCGAGCGGCGGACGGGUGAGUAAUGUCUGGGAAACUGCCUGAUGGAGGGGGAUAACUACUGGAAACGGUAGCUAAUACCGCAUACCAUCAGAUGUGCCCAGAUGGGAUUAGCUAGUAGGUGGGGUAAUGGCUCACCUAGGCGACGAUCCCUAGCUGGUCUGAGAGGAUGACCAGCCGCACUGGAACUGAGACGCGGUCCAGACGCCUACGGGAGGAAGAAUUGGGGAUAAUUGAACAAUGGGCGCAAGCCUGAUGAAGCCAGCCCGGGGUGGGGAAGACGGCCUGCGGGUUGUAAAGCACGUUCCGCGGGGAGGCGUUACGCGCAGAAGAAGCACCGGCUAACCCCGUGCCAGCAGCCGCGGUAAUAC